AGAAAAAACAGAAGCGAAAAUGGUCUUCAAUAUCGCAAGCCACGCCCAGCUUGGCCUCGAUUCCAAUUUCAACCGACUCCAUAUCGAAACCAGUGAUCGAAACAGUAUGGCGGGAACAGGCUCAGGUCAGUGGCUCAGGCACAAUCGGGGUUUUGACCAGACGGAGACGUCGCAUCGGACGACGGAGAUGAGGCAUCAGGAUGGUUGAAUGUGGCAUUAGCAUGGAGGAAUUCAUCUUUAUCUAAAGAUAACACAUUGAAGCUCAAAACAAAGCUGUCAAGUAAAUGAAGAAAGAUAACACAUUGAAGCUCAAAACAAAACUUUCAAGUAAAUAAAGAAAGAUAACACAUUAAAGCUCAAAACAAAACUUUCAAGUAAAUAAAGAAAGAUAACACAUUCAAGCUCAAAACAAAACUUUCAAGUAAAUAAAGAAAGAUAACACAUUCAAGCUCAAAACAAAACUUUCAAGUAAAUAAAGAAAGAUAACACAUUGAAGCUCAAAACAAAACUUUCAAGUAAAUAAAGAAAGAUAACACAUUGAAGCUCAAAACAAAACUUUCAAGUAAAUAAAGAAAGAUAACACAUUGAAGCUCAAAACAAAACUGUCAAGUAAAUAAAGAAAGAUAACACAUUGAAGCUCAAAACAAAACUGUCAAGUAAAUAAAGAAAGAUAACACAUUGAAGCUCAAAACAAAACUUUCAAGUAAA